CUUGUACUCCCUCCGUCCGAAAAUACUUGUCAUUGAAAUGGAUGUAUCUAGAUGUAUUUUAGUUCUAGACACAUCCAUUUUGAUGACAAAUAAUUCCGGACGGAGGUAGUACUUG
rnacentral:pre_miRNA from 1 species